rnacentral:rRNA from 1 species
ACUCCUACGGGAGGCAGCAGUGGGGAAUAUUGCACAAUGGGCGCAAGCCUGAUGCAGCCAUGCCGCGUGUGUGAAGAAGGCCUUCGGGUUGUAAAGCACUUUCAGUCGUGAGGAAGGUAGUGUAGUUAAUAGCUGCAUUAUUUAACGUUAGCGACAGAAGAAGCACCGGCUAACUCCGUGCCAGCAGCCGCGGUAAUACGGAGGGUGCGAGCGUUAAUCGGAAUUACUGGGCGUAAAGCGCAUGCAGGUGGUUUGUUAAGUCAGAUGUGAAAGCCCGGGGCUCAACCUCGGAAUAGCAUUUGAAACUGGCAGACUAGAGUACUGUAGAGGGGGGUAGAAGUUUCAGGUGUAGCGGUGAAAUGCGUAGAGAUCUGAAGGAAUACCGGUGGCGAAGGCGGCCCCCUGGACAGAUACUGACACUCAGAUGCGAAAGCGUGGGGAGCAAACAGGAUUAGAUACCCUGGUAGGAUAGCG